ensembl:lncRNA
GGCUAAGCGAAAGGAGUGACAUUACCGGGGUAUUUGUCACCGUAGCAGGAAAAAGUUCCUCUGAGAUAAGACAGGACGGAUAAGGCUUGAUCAGCCGCUGUACCCGCCGGCUGCCCUGUUUCUCCCCUUGCCCCGGGGGCAUGUGGCUGGCGCCUCCCGACUUUUUUUUUUUUUUUUUUAAACUAAAAGCAUAUUCCCCAGGGGCUUUGCAGAGCCCUGCAUGGCAGUAUGACCAGGCAGGGUGUGCGGCAGUAAUCUCUCCGUGCCCAGCGUGCAUUAAGACUGCUCUGGAAACCUUCGGAGCCCAUGGAAAUAACUGCUGAGAAGAGCAAAAAACAUCUACCUUGUGGUGCUGUUUGCAAGGAAUGUGCACCAUAUCCCAUUUCCCAGGGCAUGGAGGGAGGGAGCGAGCCGCAGCCUUCGCCUUCCUGGGAUGCCCCGUUUCCAGCCAGUCCCGUGCUCCAAGGAGCACCGGCAUCGCCCAGCGCCGUGUCUCCCACUGCCUCCUGCGCGGUCUCUCUCCCGCAGCUUCCCAGCCUGUCCCUUCACUUCUGUGUCUCCAUUCAGACCCAGGGAAGCUCUUGCUCAAGACGUUUCUGCAGAUCCUUAAGGAUGAAAGGAUGCAAAACUGCAGCGACUUCGCACCAUUGAUCCUUUUGGAUCUUGUGACUUGGGCUGGAAAAGUUGCCCUGGGCAGGAGGGAUGUCUGUAAGCUGCAGCUCGGAUGUGCAUGUUGGAACGAAGAAGGAGGAAGGGAGGAAGGCUCUCAGCUGAGGUGCUUGGAUUCGGGUUGCUGCCUCGACCUAGCAAAGCAAGGCGGAGGACACGUGCCUGAGAGCGUCCCGGAGGCUGGUAAAGCGGCUCUUUUCCAGCUAACGCCGGGGUGYUGGCAGGGAGACUGGAGGCUGCGGAACUGGCAAGACACGUGGGAAGAGGCUCGGCAGCGCGGAGGGCGCRGGAAACCAAAUCCUCAGCUUUUGGAGCAAAGCUCCCUUUGGAAAGAAGCAGGGAUGGGCACCGGGCUCGGCGCAGCAAGGAGCCCGGACCGCUGGGCACAGCCAGCUGCUUUGGGCACUAUCYGGUGUCCGGAUUUCCCUGGAGCCGCCUGUCCAGCUCGCAGCCCAGCAAAUGCGCUGAGCAUCGUGGCAGUGGCUUCCCGGCUGGCAAGGCAGCACUCCAGCCCCGGAGCCGCCGGGUGCCCCGGAGCAGCUCCGGCUCUGGCACCCGCCCUCCAGCCCCUCGGGGGCUUCCUCUCUGCGAGCAGCAACAAAGUGAGCUAUUUUGGGGAGGAAAGAUGCAUUUUGUGCAGUGCCGCGGCUGGAGGCCUGUCCGGGACAGAUAUGUGCGUGUAUAUUUACGAGGUCGGUGCUUGCGUGACUGCGUUUCCCCAUCGAGGCCAGAAUCUAAACAAUCUUGAUUCCUGUCCCGGCUGCGAUGGGCAGGGCUCCUUGAAUUGCAGGAAACGGAGCCUUUGCCUUGUUUAUGCGAGAAACCCCGGGCGGCGGAGCGCGACGCGAGGUGGGGCUGGACAUGGAGGGCCGAGGUCUCGGCCGCAGAGCRAUGGGGAGCCG